rnacentral:rRNA from 1 species
UACGUAGGGGGCAAGCGUUAUCCGGAUUUACUGGGUGUAAAGGGAGCGCAGACGGUUGUACAAGUCUGAAGUGAAACCCCACGGCUCAACUGUGGGCUUGCUUUGGAAACUGUGUAACUUGAGUGCCGGAGGGGUAAGCGGAAUUCCCGGUGUAGCGGUGAAAUGCGUAGAUAUCGGGAAGAACACCGGUGGCGAAGGCGGCUUACUGGACGGCAACUGACGUUGAGGCUCGAAGGCGUGGGGAGCAAAC